rnacentral:lncRNA from 1 species
AGGAUCUGUAUCAGAAGUUUUCAUGAACUUAGGGUCCUGCGUUUCAGAUAAAAGCUGGGGAAGGGCGGAGGGGAGAGCCGGUGGGACUUUGGGCGAGGCGGUGGGAGCCAUGGAGGGCUCCGUGGGCAGGGACACGGCGUGCAUCGACCUAUCUCCUGCACCUUCAGGCCCCUGCCCCCACAGGGCCCGCUGGGGCAUACUGGUAAGACAGGCAGCUGUCUGUCUGGGCUGAGGGGCGCCAACACCAGGCAGAGGGCACCGCGUUCUACCCGCAUAGACCUGUGCCGGCCAGGACACGGGAGCUGGCGUCUGCUUCGUCGAGGCGAGUGUCACAGGGAAGCCUGUUCUGGGUAAGCCCCCCACCUGGCUGGUCAAGUCCAAGUGAUUCCGUCUCGUUCCUCUCUGUGGUGCAAGGGACCGCUCGCCCGGGGUGGGAGGGGCUGGCAGAAGGCUCUCUCUGCUCAUGGUGCUUCCCCCGCGGGACCCUUCCGGACCCUGCGACACCCUCCUUCCCGAAUCUGCCCCCAGCCCGCCCCACUCCCUGCCCGUCCCUGGCGGGGUCCCCUUGCUCCCCGCAGGAGACCUUCCCGGGGCCCCUGUGAUCCCCCCGGCGGCCCGGCCCAUGCGCACCGCCCCACACUUCCUGAGCCUUGUUCUCUGGGACCACUCUGGGCGCCAGGAGCCAGGGCGGUUUUCUCUCGUGCGGCUCGAGACGGUUCACCGGCUCCUGCCCAGCCUGGGGGUCAGAUCCCACCUGGUUUCAUGUGUCUAAGUGAGAGCUUAGUCCCCAGGUACUUGUUAUCAGACUUGCCAAUUUUAGCCGUGUUUUCUGGGUCAGCCGGGUGAUGGACCUCGUGUACGGGUUGAUCAUUACCACUCUGUUUUGGAGGGGCUAUUAUUAGUGUCCCAGGGCUGUCAUAACAAAGCACCACAAAUCGGGUGGCUUACACAACAGAGACUUAUUCUCUCCGAGUUCUGGAGGCCCCAAGUGUGAAAUAAAGCUGUCCUCAUGGCCCUACCUGCUCCGAAGCCUCCAGGGGAGGGUUUUCCUUGCCUCUUCCAGCUUGUGUUGUUCCGUGGCUUGUGACUCUGUACCCCCCCCCCCCCCCACCAAGUCUCUGCCUGUCUUCAUAUGGCCAUCACCUUCCUGUGUGUCUGUGUCUUUGAAUCAGGUGCAUACGUGUGCACAUGGCGGGGGGGCACCUGUAUGCGGGUGCACGCGUGUGUGUUUGCGUGUACAUGUGUGUCUGUGCGAGCCUGUGCACGGGUGUGUGUGUGUGCGUGUGUGUCUAGUUAUAACUAAGUAACUAAGUCUGGGGGUGGGGCGAGGUGAGGACCAGGACUAGGCCACGCGAGCCACAGGCCAGUCCUGGGAUGGCUCCCCGUGAGGCUUGUCUCCACCUCGCUGGGCUGCUUAAAGCGAACCAGUGGGACCGGUCACUUUGGGGGGACUUGGAGGCCCCGAGUCCCCGUCUGGAAGGAGGAUUGCGAGACGCAGGGUUCACGUUCUGUGCCCGGGGGGCUAGAGGGAUUGAGGAACCCCCUGGGAGCGGCCCCGCCAGGAGACUUUGAGAACAGAGCCCCGGAGUCUCCGCCUUAAGUGCAGUUGGCUUAGCGGCAGGAUCGGCGGAGCAGUCAUGUCGCCGGCCUCUGGGCAGGGUCCCCUGACAAAGUGCAGGCUGCCGGCCUGCUAACAUUUACGUUUUAGGUCAAUGGUUAAUUUAUGGCUGUAAGUGUGUUCCAAACCCUACAUGAGACAUACCCGUACUGAGACGGUGCUCGAUGUCGCUGAAAUUCAUAUUUCACGAGGUGUCCUCCACUUUUAUUUGCUACACUGGCCACCGUACCGGAGAGGCCCCCCAGGGCCCGAGGAGGCUGCCAGGGAGGGGGGGCGGGUCCCAGCCUCCUCCCCCGCCCCCGCCUCCAUGGAGAUCGCCAGGAUGGGGUGGGAACCAAUCCCGCUGGCCCGUGGGGACAUCUGGAGCGCUAACGGGGCAAGGAGGGGAGUGGGGGGGACAGAGGCCCGCCCAGGCACCGCACGAAGGGAGGCGUGGGGCCCCUGUAAGCCCUGGAGCAGGGGCGUCCCGGGUGCAAGUGGGGGUAUCCGCGUCUCCUUGGCGGGGUGGAUUUAGGUACUUUGUGAGAGUCCGCAGCGUCGGGGAGUGAACGCUGGGUGGGUUCCCGGCCCCUGCCUGGCUCCUGCGCGUCAUUCAUUGCCUGACCAAUGUCACAGCCACAAGCAGCACGGAGCCUCCGCCUUUCUGGAGGAGUGCAGGCCAGGAGGGGGCGCUCGGGGGGAAACACGCAGAGAUCCUCGAUGGGUCAGCGAUGGCGGGCUGGGAGGGUGGGACGGAAGGGUUUCCUGAGGACCCCAUAUUUAAGCCGAGUGUCACGAGGGAAGAGGAGUUACUCAGGAGAAGGUCUGGGGGAGGAAGGGCUGGGGGAGGGAUCCCAGGUCUAAGGAGAAGAAGCAGGUGCCCAGGCUGGAGGUGGGGAGGCCAUGAGAAUUCCAAGGGGGAGAAGACCACCGUGGCCGAGAGGAGGGAAGGCAGGGUGUCGGCAUGAGCCUGAGCCACAGGGAAACCUGACACCAGGUUUUCCACGUGGAAUAUAUUCUGGAAGGCCUUCUGGUUGCCCCUCUGGAGCUGUGGGCCCCGGCUGGCCAGUGUCUUCCUCCGGGGCCAUCUAUCAGGGUCUCCUCGCGGUGACCUCUGUGGGGAGGGGCCCGAUGCCCCCAAGUGGCGUGGGGCUCCUGGUGGCAACUCUGGGCCGGCCUCGUGAAGGGACUCCCCCUCCCCACCCUUGUUUGACCCUGAGGGUCUGUCCCGCUCCAGCGAGCAGGCUUUCGUCCACACUGGCUCACUGCCUCCACGGGUCCCGUGCCCUCGCUGCUUCGAGACUCAUGCCUACGUGUGACUCCCCCUCCACCCCUGGAAGGCACAUCCUUGCCCCACAGAAAACCAGAUGAUUUUGUAUUUUUGAAGACAGAGGAGGGAAAGAUAGAGAGAACCCUCUGAUCUACUCCAUGCAUUUGCCACCAAAGCGGUCUUCCCAAAGUCUCCCACACAGAGGCUUUUGGAAAGAAAGAGCCAGGGUCACUUUGGCACCAGGAAGGGCUCAAAUCCCACUCACGGCUUGGGUGACGUCCCUCAGUUACUUGCCUUCUCGGUGGCUCAGUUUCCCCACCUGUGGAAUGAGGUCCACCGCAGCGCCCAGCACACAGGGCUAUUUGAGGACAAGGUGCGGUGACCCGGCUCAGGCUGGGGUCUGCACCCUCAGCCGAGGCACCGACACAGGGGGCUCGAUGGAACCCCCGAGCCGCGAGUGAGGGCAGGCGAGUUAGCCUUGGGGCCCAGACACUUCUAACCUGCUCUGCUCAUCACAGAGGGAUCUGCAUCAUCCACAGUUGUCUCCAGGAUGGGACAAGAUGGAUGGAGGUUGGGUCUUGUGCGGAGGGAGGGGGAAGAGAGCAGUCUUUGGAGUCCACGAAAGCAGGGCCGUUGGUAAAAAGAGACGUUGGAGGUGGACAAAUUAACCUUUUAAUCAGGAAACCACAAGAAUCACAAAAGCGUGAAGACACUUGGCAAAGAGGUUGGGUCCUGCUCAGAGUUACCUCGUGCACACGCUGGCCGGAGGAGGUGAGACCCCAGCUCCGGGCGCCUUCCCCAUGAACCACCACCUCCCGGGCGUGUGUGGCCCCAGACACUCAUGCUCCUACUCAAACACACUCAGACCCAAGGUGCCCUCGUGUGUCUGGCGCUCCCUCCAAAGUGGGCUUUCGUCCUUAGGGAGCACUGUGUAUCCAGCACCUUGGUGCGGAAGAAAAGAAGGAGACUGGAAUUACCACGGCUUCGUCCUCCAGCUGUGUUUUCCUGGAGGCGGACGUCCAGGCUGCACUGACGAUGCAAAUGUUGACGGAAUUGUGUUCUGGGCCAGCAUUUCCCUCUAAAGCACCUCGGGAUCAAAGCUACAGACCCAGGGCGCCUGGGUGGCUCAGUCGGUUGAGCGUCCGACUUCGGCUCAGGUCAGGAGCUCGCGCUUUGUGGGUUCCAGCCUCGUGUCGGGCUGUGUGCUGACAGCUCGGAGCCUGGAGCCUGCUUUGGAUUCUGUGUCUCCCCCCUCUCUCUGCCCCUCCUCCACUCACACUCUGUCCCUCUCUCUCUCUGUCAGAAAUAAAUAAACAUUAUUAUUUUUUUUAAUUUAAAAGGGAAAGGUAAGCUAUUCAGCUAGCAAAAUAUAGUUUAUUUGGAACAGCGGAAGUGUGGGAACUCCGGACAAGCGCGGGUGGACAAAACACGGACGAGACUGGAGAACAAAGGAGAGUCCUUUCAUAACGGAAGGGAGGAAGCUGGGAGGUGUCUUUCUGAACAAGUUUAUUAGAGGACAGUGCGCGUUUGAAGCGGUGGUCGUUCUUCCUUGGCUGCGGGCCACCGGGGUGAUGGCCGCCUCGCGCUGGCUACGGGCAAAGCAGCUUGCUGUUGUCGGCCAGGAGGAAAUCUUUCUCCUUCCUGCUGGGCUGGGCAGACUCUGGAGAGUAGUGUGUGUACGACAGCCCAGCCUUGAGUUAGGCUCCUUUAACACAUUUUCAUCCCCCGCGAUACCACUGAAGCCGGGGCGGUAGACGCAGUGUAGACAGCAAUGCGCGCUUCUCCCUUCGGUUUGCAGCACACUGUGCGGAGCAAGAUCUGGCUGUGAGGACGAGGAAAGGGUCAGAGGGCCGGCAGGUGGGCCCUGAAAGGGGAGCCGGGGAAAGAUGUCAAAGGUCACAGUAGCAUUUUUAGAGAGAUCCUGUCCGUGGUAUUCAUGAUGCGUGAAUCUUUACACAACAGACAAACAAACACAAACACGUGAUAGAAGACAGUUCUCAUCAGGCAAACAUCCAGACUGGGGCAGGGUGAAGAGGCCAGGUGCCUUCAAGAAGGAGCUACGAGAUGGUGGGAAAGCCAUGCAGAAGGCCACGUAAGCAAGAUGGCGGCACACGAUGUGGGCCAUGGCCUCAGUUGGGCUCACUCUCUCUUAUGGGAUAGAUGUGUUUCCCCGAAACUCAUGUGUUGAAGUUCUAAGCCCAGUGCCUCAGAAUGUGACUGUACUGGGAGUGAGCUCUUCGCAGAGGUAAUUAAGGUUAAAUGAGCUCAUUGGGGGUGAGCCACACCCCAGCGUGACUGGGGUUCUUAUAAGAAGAGGGGAUCAGGACACGGGCACACACAAGUGAACCAUGUGAGGACCCAGGGAGACGGCGGCCAUCUACACACCAAGGAGAGAGGCCUCAGAAGGAAGCAACCUAGCUGAAACCUUGACCUAUGACUCCUGGCCUCCGGAACUGGGAGAAAAUAUGUUUCUGUUAUUGAAGCCGUCUAGACUGCUGAACUUUGUUGGCCCUCAUGCCCUCGUAUAGUUUCCUGCCUGUUCACGCCAGACACCGGCAGGACAUCACUUUGGGUUAAUAAAAGCACAUUUUUUAAGAUUUGAGUUGCGCUCAGAAUACCCAUUUUUAAAAAUUGAUUAAUAAAACACUCGAUCUAGGGGCACCUGGGCGGCCCAGUCAGUUAAGAUUCUGACUUGAUUUUGGCUCAGGUCAUGGUCUCACGGUUCAUGAGUUCAAGCCCCAUGUCAGGCUCUGAACUGACAGUGUGGAGCCUGCUUGGGAUUCUUUCUCUCCCUCUCUCUCUAAAAAUAAAUAAACUUAAAAAAACUAAAAAAUAAAACACUUGAUUUAUUUUCCUUUAUAUAACCAAUUCAUUACUGAUUAAAUAAAGGUAAAAAAAAUAGAUAAACUCCCAGAACAUACUUUCCAAAUAAAGUAAAUAAUAAAACUCCCCUUAAGGAGUGGGGGGGAGAAACAGAAGCUGGAAACAAUUCACAGCCACUUGAGGACGUGACCUUGAACAGAUCAAGCUCUCUUUAUGAUGAUAAUCUCUCCCCAACACAAUUUCAUUUUGGCCAUGUUGGCUCCAUAAACAAUACUUACUCUUGCAAACAGAUUGCCCCCCCCCCGGCCCCGGCCCCAGAUUUGCUCAUACAGCUUCGUGACUCCAGUCGUGAUUUCUAGCUGGAGACACGCACCCUCCUGGAAACGUGUUGGCGUGUUGGGUUUUGGGAGCUGGGAUAAUUCUGCCGCCCCCCGCCACCCGGUCCUUCUGCUGAGGGCCAUCUUUUGAACGCCCUUUUUUGAGAAAGUGCAGUGCCAGAAGGACACGGUCUUGGGUGGUGGCAAACAGGCUUAUUUAAAUCCUGCUGCUGGGAAGCUGAAGUCGACGCCCGUCUCCCUCUCCCUUCCACUGUGUGCAUGAACAGGAAGCCCCCCGAACAACUUUUAGGGGAAAAGGUUGCGGGGGGGGCCUCAGGAUCCAAGGCCAGGCAACGGUGUCUUAGACCCUUGGCGCACAGGAGGACAGACUGUUCAAUUGGAUCUCAUCAAAAUUUAAACACAUUUGCCCUGCAAACGACCCUCCAGGACAAUGAAAAGACAAGCCACACGCUGAAAGAAAACAUUCACGAGUCACACAUCUGACAAAGGGCUACUGUCUGGAGGACAGGAAGACCUCUCAGAACUGAAGAGUAAAAUGAUCCAAUUAGAAAAUGGGCAAAAGAGGAGAGCCUGGGGGGCUCAGUCGUUGGGCGUCCGACUUGGGCUCAGGUCAGGAUCUCACAGCCCAUGAGUUCGAGUCCUGCAUCGGGCUCUGUGCUGAUGGCUCAGCGCCUGGAGCCUGCUUCGGAUUCUGUGUCUCCCUCUCUCUCUGCCUCUCCCCUGUUCACAUUCUGUCUGUCUCUCUCUCAAAAAUAAACAAUUUAAAAAAAGAAAACGGGCAAAAGACGUGAAGGGGACACACAGAUGACGGACAAGCACAUGGAGAGGUGUGCAACGUCAUUUGCGUUUAGGGAAAUAAAUGCGCGCUAAAAACCCAGGAAGACGUUAUCACACAGCUGUCAGAUGGCUAAAUAAAAAAAAUAAAUAGGAUAAAAUGGUGUUGGCGCAACUGUAGGUGAGGACGUGGUGGCCUGGAUUGUCACGCCUUGCGGGCAGGAACGGAAAAUGAUACAAGCAUCUUGCUUUUCUCGCAGUUUCUGAAAAAAAAACCAAUCGCGCAAUAAAUAGCGUUCGACUCAGAAACUACACCUCCAGGCGUUGACCCUGGAGAAAUGGAGACUAAGUUCGCCUAAAAACUUGUGCAUGAAUGUUCAUGCAGUUUUACCUCUAGUCGCCAACCGUUGGGCGUGGCUCUGAUACCCUUCAGUGGGUGGAUAAUUAAAUAAAGCAAGGUCCAUCACACUGGGGAGUACUGUGCAUCAGUAAGGGGCCAGGCCUGAGCAUACAGCAACAAGCUGGAUCAAUCCCCAAAGAGAUCAGAGUGAAAAAGACUGAACUCAUAGCCUUUCUUUCUUUUUUUUUUUUAUGUCUAUUUAUUUAUUUUGAGAGAGUGGAGGAGGGGCAGAGAAAGCAGAGAGAGAGAGAGAGAGAGAGAGAAUCCCAAGCAGGCUCUGCAGAGCCCAUAGUGGAGCUCGAACUCAUGAACUGUGAGAUCACGACCUGCUCUGAAACCAAGAGUCGGACGCUCAGCUGACUGAGUCCCCGGGGCGCCCCUCCGCCCAGUCUUUCUGUAACAUGAACUAGGAGGUGGCAUCCCAUCACUUCAACCGUAUCUGUUUGUCAGGAGUGAGUGGCCAGGUCCCGUCCCCACUCAGCGGAAGGGCGCUUCACGGGAGUGAGAGAUCUAUCCUAGCGGGAUCCCUCCGGGCACCCUCGGGGCGUUGUCACUGCAGGGAACCGUACUUCUCUGUGAGGGUCACAGAACAACCCUCCCCUGCCCGGGCGGGUCAAAGUUUCCGGGGGCUUCUGGUGGAGCUGGGGACACGCGGGGGGACAGGGUGGGCUGGAGACGGCGGACAUGGUGUGAGCAGGGCACAGGCCGGCGGUGCAGGGGCGAAGCUAAGGCCCAGCGAGGGCAGCCCCACCUGGCACACGGGGGCCUGAGGCGAGGCGCUGUGCCGGCCUGGCGGCCGCCCGGCCGCCAGCUACAAAACCCAGCCCGGGACGUCCCCGGGAGAGCCCCAGAGGGCACCCUGGCCGUGCUCUCCACCUGUACCUGCCCCGGAGGGCCCAUGAGCAGACCCAGAAGGUGCCCACACCAGCACACCAGACGGAGGCUUCCUCCUUCCCCCCGCUCCCCUCGGCUCAACCUGCGGGCCCCGAAACUCCGAAGUGGGAAGAAGGGGAAAAGAGAAAAUAGUGAGACGGGAGAAGAAACCCCUUGCCUCCUUCUCCAGCAGCCUGAGCGCACUGCCCGGGAGGCCAGUGCAGGUGGAGGUGAAGGUGCCUGCGAGCGAGGCUCCCUGGCUGAGCCACGUGCCUAUGGAACCCCCCCCCGGGGACAGGGAGCUCCGGACGUGUCUUCUCUGCUCACCUCGGUUCCUCCCCAGCCCUCACAUCUUUUCCUCCAAAGCGCUCCCGGGGCCACCCUUGCAAAGCACAGAUAUGACUCCUGAUGGAGGCGAAGACCCACCUUUGACCCCGCUCGCAGCAGAGGGGGCUCCGGCCGCUCAGCUCAGGGCUCCCUCAGGAGGACCCAGAUCUGCCCCUGCACCCCUGCCCGCCACCUCCCCUCCACCUGCUAGAAGCGACCCCCGUGUUCCCGUGCCUUGUCAGAGAAGAGGGCAGCCAAGUCCGCGUGCGUUCCACCCGCCAUAGCUCACCCUGAGCCUCUGUUCCCAACGAUGCCAGCAUCCGUCCUUAUCUUAAUCGUGGCCGGGCAGCUUCCAAAAGGGCCCCCAGGACCUGAGGUAAUCCACAGUUCCCUGUGGUCCCCUCUCCCUGAGUGACAGCUGGACCCAGUGACUUGCUUCCAGAGGAGGGGUCACUUCCUGAUAAGGUUUUUCUCCCUCUUUUUUUUUUCUUCAGGUUUAUUUAUUUUUGAGAGAAAGAGCACAAGCAGGGAAGGGGCAGAGAGGGAGGGAGACGCAGAAUCCGAAGCAGGAUCCGGGCUCCGAGCUGUCGGCACAGAUCCCGACGUGGGGCUCAAACCCACGAACUGCAAGAUCAUGACCUGAGCCGAAGUCAGACGCUUAACCGACUGAGCCACCCAGGGGCCCCCGUCUUGGUUUUCCCUGCUCGUUCUGCUCUGCAGGAGGCUGGCACGUGCCCGGUGUAGGACGGGGUCCCUGGGCCCCUCGCGUGCCAACGGCAGAGUCCUGGCCGCAGGCACGGGAGUGAGUGGGGGGAGGAGCCUGCCCUCUGCCUCGGUCCUUGAAGGAAGUGCACACCGUGGGCACCCCGGCCCUGAGCCAGCGCCCCCAGGACUCCGGACCCACGCAAACUGCGAGCUAAUAAAGGUCUGCAGUUCAAAGCCGCUGCGAUUUGUUACGUGGCUAGGACCACCGUGCAGGGUCGUCAACCGUCCCGAAAACCCUGUGAAGUUCAUCUUUAUUCCCCCCGCUGAAACCCUCUCACGAGCGCAAAUAAAUAGUGCGUGGGACAUGAAAUUCUCACCCCUGAGCGCACGGGUCCCACGUCAUCACGCCGUCACGGUCUGAUCCCUUUCACACACCAGGCGACAUCCCACUGCUUCUUAAUCUACUUUUCUACUUCUCUUUCUUUUUCAACGGGGCUAGGCUUUUGAAAGAAAGAAACGAGGGUGCCUCUGACAAUACCUCCAGCUGUCAAAGCAUCCCGGUGCUGAUGCGUUGAUGCGCGCGUGCCCACAGGACGCCGUAGGGUUUCUGGGUGAAUCACCCCACUGCCUUUCUGCGAAGCCUCGGGGGACGAUUGUGCCGGCAGGCUGAUGAUGGAACGUGUCCUCACUCAUCCAGGCAAAGAGGCGGCGGCCGGGGCCGAGCACCCAGGACCUGGCCACCGGCUCCUCCUGCAUUGUCUUCCAGACUCCGCACUCCAGUCCGUCCUUCUCAUGAACUUUCUCCCCCCUUGUUGGCUGUCACUUCUGUCACUUCCUCUCUGUGGUCACAGCACAAACGAAAGCACACCAGUCACCAGGGGCCCCCGUGUGACUCCGGUCACCGGGCAGCGUGCACCUAACAGACUUUGAUGGAGUUUCCGCUCUCAAUCGCCGAGGACAAGAGAGCGCUCCGACGCUGUGCAGACUGGUCUCCAAAGAUUAUUUUCAGACACUUGUUUUUUCUUUUUUUAAUUGUGCUAAAAUAUGCAUGACAUAAAAUUGACCUUUUUUUAAUGUUUAAUUUUGAGAGAGAGAGAGACAGAGAGAGACAGAGAGCAUGAGUGGGGGAGGGGCAGAGAGCGAGGGAGACAGAGGAUCCGAAGCGGGCUCCAGGCUCCGAGCCAUCAGCACAGAGCCCGACGCGGGGCUCGAACUCACGGACUGCAAGAUCAUGACCUGAGCCGAAGUCGGACGCCUAACCGACUGAGCCACCGAGGCGCCCCUACCUUGGGGGCGCCGAGUGCCCCUCUAGUCCUCACUGAGGACCAAGAAAUAAUAGCAACAAGGCUACUACUUGGAAGAUGGGCUUGACUUGACUUUUCUCUUCCUCCUUCUUUUCCUUUUUUAAUAGAUCCCUCACCUGAGGUCCAAGGCACUGAGCUACGCCCGGCUGGGGGCACAGGGCUGGGCCGAACUCUUCAGAAAGAGGGGAUGGCUCAGCAUGGGAGAGACUGACAGCAAUCAGCAGCUCUUGGAAGACUUGGCCCAGAACCUCGCAGGAAACGGGCAAAGGCCUUUCAGAUCGAUCUGGAACCGACACGAGCACACCGAAUCACCACGAAGGUGGGUGUUGAGACAGACCCCCUUAGAAAGGGAGACUGAGGCCACAUGAAGAAUGACCUUCUGUGUCUUGGAAAAACAUGGUGAGGCGGUCGAAACCACUUUUCUGCUUUGUCGCAAACAUAGACCAAAGUGGUGACGGAGCCCUGAAGACCAAAGAGCAUGGAGAGGCUGCUAUGACCUCACAGCCCAGGUAAGUCUUAAAAAGCCAUGGUACCCAAUGGAAUACUAUGUGGCAAUGAGAAAGAAGGAGAUCUGGCCAUUUGCAGCAACGUGGUUGGAACUGGAGAGUGUUGUGCUAAGUGAAAUAAGCCAUACAGAGAAAGACAGAUACCAUAUGUUUUCACUCUUAGGUGGAUCCUGAGACACUUAACAGAAGACCUCGGGGGAGGGGAAGGAAAAAAAACCAUAAGAGACUCUUAAAAACUGAGAACAAACUGAGGGUUGGUGGGGGGUGGGAGGGAGGGGAGGGUGGGUGAUGGGCAUUGAGGAGGGCACCUGUUGGGAUGAGCACUGGGGUUGUAUGGAAACCAAUUUGACAACAAAUUUCAUGUUAAAAAAAAAAAAAGCCAUGGUAACCUGACAAAAUGCGGUGUGCUGGCCUAGCCUGGGUCCUGGGGACUGAAAGUCCAUUUUUAUAGAAAACGUGGUUAUUCCAAGUAAGAUCCUCAGUUUAGUUAAUAGUCAUGUGCCAAGGUCAAUUCCUUAGUUCUGACAACUACACUGUGAUCAUGGAAGAUAUUAACAACGAAGGACUCCGUAAAGGGCAUGCUAUGGGAACUCUAAUGUUUUUGGAACUUGCUUGUUAAACCUAAAAUUUAUCCAAAAUAAGUUUAAUAUAAAAAAAAUGCAGGCCUUGGAAGCCCACACAUUUAUUCUUUAAUCAAAUCAAUGUUUUUUCCUCCUUUUCUUGUAUCUUGCUCUACGGUGCAUAUUCGUUUUUGUUUAUGUAAAGAAAUCUGCCAAACGGACUCCCUGCAAUCAGAAGUUUUGCUUGACACAUAAUUUAUAUCCCCCACUUGGUUUCAGUCCCUUGAUUUCUUGUCUCUUUCCCCUCUCUUCUUCUAACACUGUCGUGGAACCAGUGUGAACGGCCUGGUACGCAACUUACACGCCUUUCAGUGUGCCCAGCCCCUCACUUACAGACAUGUGCAGACAUACCCGGAUGCCACGUGUCUGCUGAGGCUGUAAACAAGGGAUCGUGACAAAUACAUCUAUCAUCUAUCGAUCUAUCGUCUAUCUAUCUAUCUACCUCUAUCUAUCUACCUCUAUCUAUCUAUCUAUCUAUCAUCUAUCUAUCUCUAUCUAUCUAUCUAUCUAUCUAUCUAUCUAUCUAUCUAUCAUCUAUCUAUCUAUGCAACUUCUCUCCUUACUUCACAACAUGGACAUCCCUAUAACGCAAUAAAAGUAGCUCUAACACAAUAUUUUAAUAUCUGGAUACCGUUCCCUAGAAGGUACGCAGCCAAUUUAUCCAAACGUUUCCCUUUAGAAGGAUUUGUGGUUUUGUGCUGCGAUAUCAUUAUACCUAUGACGGUGUGCAAAUGGGUUUGCUGCUGUGCAAUAGGGAGCAGAAAUGGGACGACUAUAUGAAAGAGAGUGUGUGUAUGGGGCGCCUGGGUGGCGCAGUCGGUUAAGCGUCCGACUUCAGCCAGGUCACGAUCUCG